CUACGGGAUGCAGCAGUGAGGAAUAUUGCACAAUGGAGGAAACUCUGAUGCAGCAACGCCGCGUGGAGGAUGACGCAUUUCGGUGUGUAAACUCCUUUUAUGAGUCAAGAAAACGACGGUAGCUCAUGAAUAAGCACCGGCUAACUCCGUGCCAGCAGCCGCGGUAAUACGGAGGGUGCAAGCGUUACUCGGAAUCACUGGGCGUAAAGGACGCGUAGGCGGGAUAUCAAGUCAGGUGUGAAAUCCUACAGCUUAACUGUAGAACUGCACUUGAAACUGGUAACCUAGAGUAUGGGAGGGGGAGAUGGAAUUAGUGGUGUAGGGGUAAAAUCCGUAGAUAUCACUAGGAAUACCUAAAGCGAAGGCGAUCUCCUGGAACAUUACUGACGCUAAGGCGUGAAAGCGUGGGGAGCAAACAGGAUUAGAUACCCGAGUAGUC
rnacentral:rRNA from 1 species